rnacentral:rRNA from 1 species
AUUGAACGCUGGCGGCAUGCUUUACACAUGCAAGUCGAACGGCAGCGCGGGCUUCGGCCUGGCGGCGAGUGGCGAACGGGUGAGUAAUACAUCGGAACUUGCCCAGUAGUGGGGGAUAGCUCGGCGAAAGCCGGAUUAAUACCGCAUACGACCUGAGGGUGAAAUCGGGGGAUCUUCGGACCUCGCGCUAUUGUAGCGUCCGAUGGCAGAUUAGCUAGUUGGUGGGGUAAAGGCCUACCAAGGCGACGAUCUGUAGCUGGUCUGAGAGGACGACCAGCCACACUGGGACUGAGACACGGCCCAGACUCCUACGGGAGGCAGCAGUGGGGAAUUUUGGACAAUGGGCGAAAGCCUGAUCCAGCAAUGCCGCGUGUGUGAUGAAGGCCUUCGGGUUGUAAAGCACUUUUGGCGGGAACGAAAAGGAAUGUGCCAAUACCACGGUUCGAUGACGGUACCCGCAGAAUAAGCACCGGCUAACUACGUG